AUUCUUUGAGAGAACUUCUCCACCGACCCCGUCACCUGGAUUGGAUCACCGACCUCUCCCAAGAGGGGCCUGGCUUCCUCCUCGCUGGGGAAACGGUAGGGAGCUCCCCUAGGUAAAGCCUCUAGGGAGAGUGGCCAGGAGCCGGGUCAGGAAAGGCUCUGGUGCCCAAAGGGCUGCCCGCAGAGGCUGAGGUCCCUGCAAGUGCACAGGGAGGAGAGGUGAGAUCAGAUUCCAGCCGAGUCAGGCUUCCAUGUCAGACUGCGUGUGUUUAUGCAGAGGUGCAACUCAGGAAUUACUGAGGAGAAAGUACAGGGCCAAUUUAACCUCCUCUGAGAGACCUCUAACCCUGCUCAUCACCACUCCUCGCUAAAAAGGGCCCUCUCCAGGGAAGAACCCAGAGGGAGAGCGGGAAUUCUCCUCCCCUUGGAGGAAGAGUGCUUCCUCUACCCUUAAUGUAUCAACUGACAACAAUUCAAACAGAAGGAAACUAGGAUGUGACAAAUAAAGGAAGCCUUUUCAUGCUCUAUGUCCACUGGCGUCGGGCAAGCCCCGGUGGAAGUCCAAGGAAAAGAGUCUAAGACCCAAACAGAUGGUUUGCGCCAAAGUUCUGAAGUGUAUCAGACGUGAAUAAAGGUCUUCGAUUCCCUGCCCCCUGCCCGAGGACCUGCCUCCUCCCUGCCCGAGGACCAAGCUUCAGAAGAACUGCACAUGGGAGGAAAUACCAACCGCUUAACUUCUUCAGAGACAACCUCUAACCCGGCUCACCACCACGCUAGCUAAAAAAGGGCCCUCUCCCAGGGAAGAUCCCGGAGGAAGAGUGGGAAUUCACCCUCCCCUUGGGGGAGGAGUGCUUUCUCUACCCUUAAUUUAUGAACUGAGAAAAAUCCUAACAAGCCUACUAUGAAAUAAAGAUGCCCUUAACCCAUUUAUGCCUAGUGUUCCAUUAUUGGAACGCUAAGCUUGUGGGAGUUAUUUAUAUCCUACUGCUCAAAACCAUUGCCAAGGUCUGAUUUUUCACACAAAAAAAUUUGCAACCUUCGGUAUAAAUGGGUUAAUUCCAAAGCCUAAAGCAACCUAAGACAUCUCAGUCCACAGUGAGCCCAGCCUCCAGCUGCAGGUGUUGGCUUCCACACAGCGCAGGACCAAGCAGUUUUGUGCUGAGUCCAUCUCUGUGGCCACCGGCCACCCGGUGCUGGGGCUGGUCCCCAGCUCAUCUGCACAGGGUUGGUGGAAGGGGCCAGAGGCAGCCUGGGCUCUGAAUUCCACCCAGACCUGGGGAAUAGGCCUGGUAGGGGAGUGAAUGCCAGGGCCGCUGGUGGCCUUGGCUCUUCUGCACGGCAGCAACUGUGGUGGCCUGAGAAUAAGGAGUUACCAUAAGGACGUAGAGGUAGAUCACCAGAGCCGCAUCCACACCCAGAGAUAGACUCACACAUCUGUGGUGUGUUCAUUUCAACAAAGGUGCAGAGAAAAUUCCAUGGAGGAAAAACAAUAGCCUAUCAACAAAUGGUGUUAGAACGAUUGGAUAUCUCACGCAAAAAAUUAACUUUUAUCUGUAUCUCAUGUUAUGUAAAAAUGGAACCAAAAUAGAUUAUAAACAUAAUGUAGAAUAUAAAAGAAAUUAUGGUAAAAAUCAUAGGAAAAAAAUCUGUGCGACCUUAGUUAGGCAAAGAUAUUUUAAAUUUGACAGCAAAAGUACAAUCCAUAAAAGAAAAGAAA
ensembl:lncRNA novel transcript